rnacentral:misc_RNA from 1 species
UCCGGUUUGUCACCGGCGGUCUCCAUAGAGUUCCCACCAUUACGUGCUGGCAACUAUGAACAAGGGUUGCGCUCGUUGCGGGACUUAACCCAACAUCUCACGACACGAGCUGACGACAGCCAUGCAGCACCUGUUUUCAGGGCCCGAAGGCACUCCUCCGUCUCUGGAGGAUUCCAUCAAUGUCAAGGGCAGGUAAGGUUCUUCGCGUUGCAUCGAAUUAAACCACAUGCUCCACCGCUUGUGCGGGUCCCCGUCAAUUCCUUUGAGUUUUACCGUUGCCGGCGUACUCCCCAGGCGGAGAACUUAACGCGUUAGCUGCGACACCGAAGGGCUAAUCCCCUCCGACAUCUAGUUCUCAUCGUUUACGGCGUGGACUAC